rnacentral:rRNA from 1 species
CCUACGGGUGGCAGCAGUGAGGAAUAUUGGUCAAUGGGCGGAAGCCUGAACCAGCCAAGCCGCGUGAGGGAAGAAGGUACUAUGGAUCGUAAACCUCUUUUAUAAGGGAAUAAAGUGCGGGACGUGUCCCGGUAUGUAUGUACCUUAAGAAUAAGGAUCGGCUAACUCCGUGCCAGCAGCCGCGGUAAUACGGAGGGUCCGAGCGUUAUCCGGAUUUAAUGGGUGUAAAGGGUGCGUAGGCGGCAGUGCAAGUCAGCAGUGAAAGCCGGUGGCUAAACCAUGGAAUUGCCGUGGAAACUGGGUGGCUAGAGUGUAGGAGAGGCAAGCGGAAUGCCUGGUGUAGCGGUGAAAUGCGUAGAUAUUAGGCAGAACACCGAUGGCGAAGGCAGCUUACUGGACCAUAACUGACGCUGAGGCACGAAAGCGUGGGGAGCAAACAGGAGUAGAUACCCCAGUAGUC